AUGCCCUUCCUGACGCAACCCUACUCAUUUAUCCGGACUUGGGACCAGCACUCAGAAUGCACACCCCAUGUAGCUGAGUUAUGUAUGGUCUUCAUGAUUUUGAUUUUUUUUUAUUAUUAUUUAUUUAUUUUUAUUUUUUUUUGUAUUUGUGAUUUUGUGCCUAUAUUUGUGAAAAUGUCACAUUUGAGUUUCACCUUGAAAGUUAGGAAUUGGCUUAAUUCAUUCAGUGUCAAAUUUAGUUGGGAACUAGUCGAUAGCUAAUGAUUUUCAUUAGUUGUCCCAACCCUAAUAGACUGCACAAUACCGUCAAAACCAUGAGAAUCUGUUUUUGUUUCACCCAUAUAAUAGUGCUGAACACACACAUAUAUAUAUAAUUUUCUUUGCUUACAAAAUUAUAGAAAAUAAUGCCAGGUAUCCAUGGAAAUGACUAAUUAUGUCAGCACGGCGCCAAUCAACACUACAGUGCAGAGGCUGUGAUGAUCAACACCAGAGAUUGAGGUGGUCUGUGCAGCCAUUAAUCUUGUUUCUCUCUCUCGCUUUCUCCUCUCCCUGUUCUGCUGAGCUCUUGUAAGUCAAAACAACACAUUUCUUAUUGCUUUAACUGGAAGACAGUCAUGUGCUGUGUGCACGCUCUUUUAAGUCUUUACAUUGAUUAAUUGUAAGCCUUAAUGAUCAUUAAUGAAACACAACUGAUUUUUUUAUUUUAAUGGGAAUCUGUAAGAAUCUUUGAUUAAUGAAGUCUUUCAUCCAGAUUUUAACUUUGGAGGAGCAAAUUUGAAAAUGACAGCAGCCCAGGUUAAACUCUUGCUCAAAUAAGGCAAUUAUUGAGGGGACAUAUAGUGUAAAACCAGUAAUGCCAUGAUAUAAUAACAUCAGAGUCCAAACACUUACAAAUACAGUGAUAUUAAUGUUAGGUCAUAUUGCCCACCCGUAUUCUGAGAUCACAUUUAGGAACCUAUUUUCCAAAUUUAUUUGAUCAGGGUUGUUGUUUUAGAAUAAGUCAUAAAUGUUGAACACUGUUAUAUUUUAUGUAAUUGUUACCAUUCAUUAAAUUUAGGUGUGCAGCUUCUGAGGGGGAUACUAAGUGGGGAAGUCAGUGUGUUUUGUGGGAUAAAAUCUUGCUAAUCCAACCUGUUAGUACAUAAUUCUACUGUGAAAAUGAAGGGUUCAACCAUGAAUGUUUUUAAAUUCAGUUUCUCACACUUGCAAUUGAAUUGUUUUACUCAAGGGAAUACCAUUACACAUUGUCACGGGCGAAUGUACGACAUCAUGUGACUGAAUGCAUAAAAUGUAACAUUUGUGGCAGUGUGUUGUACUGUCACAUAUCUGAUAUAAAGUUGUGCUGAUAAACUGAGCUACAAAUUUCUCUGAUUAUAAUGCAUUAAAUGUCUUGUACAGCAUGUAAAACUUAAGUGAGAAAAUGUACAAAACUGGCAACAAACUUGGUACAGUAUUUUUUUUUUUUUUUUACAACUUUGUAUUUUGAGAGGAAUUUUCCUUAUAUGCAGAAGUUGCUGUUAACUUAAAUCGGAAACAGUAAUGUAUUAAGAGAGGAUGAUGCAAUGGGAAGAUUUUUUUUUUUUUUUUUUUACUUUUAAGGGAACAUGAGUGUUUUUCUUUUAUUUGCAUAAGACUGCCUUUUAAAGAGUAACUUCAUCCCUACAAAUCUUAAUUUGUAGUUGUUCACAUGCAGUCAGGAGUGUGGUGAGUGCACCUUAGCCACACUGAACAGUAAUCUCAUUGUGGGCACUUCUGACUACAUCACUCCUUCACUCAUACAUCAGUGAAAGCAGGGGGUAUUGUGAUGAGAUAAAAUUCUGCAACAUGCACAUAAAGUUCUGACAGGCAACCUCUGUUGGGCAUUAUAGUUUUGUCCCACCCCCUUAGUAAUUUCAUAGAUAUGCACAUCUGUAUGGAGAACACAUAUUGUCACUGACUUGAUCAUACAAAUGUUUUUUAACUCAUUCUUGCAAGUAAAACAAGCAUGUAAAAAUCAUAGCAUCACUUAGAAAACUAAGUGCAGCUUGUGCCUUUUCUAACACUGCCUUAUGGUGCAUCCAGAAAGUAUUCACGGUGCUUCACUUUAUCCACAUUUUAUGUUACAGCCUUAUACCAAAA